GCAAAUUGUGUACAAACAGGCACUAGAUCUCUUAUCAAAUCACUACUGGGCAGCAGCACAUAGGUUCCCCCCAUCCCCAAUAUUAUUGAUAUUAUUUAUAUAGCGCCAACAAAUUCUGCAGCUCUUUACAAUAGGUGGACUUACAAACUUGUAAUUGUAACCAGACAAGUUGGACGCACAAGAACAUAGGGGUUGAGGACCCUGCUCAAUG